rnacentral:rRNA from 1 species
CGGAGGGUGCAAGCGUUAUCCGGAUUCACUGGGUUUAAAGGGUGCGUAGGUGGGCAAGUAAGUCAGUGGUGAAAUCUCCGGGCUUAACCCGGAAACUGCCAUGAUACUAUUUGUCUUGAAUACUGUGGAGGUCAGCGGAAUAUGUCAUGUAGCGGUGAAAUGCUCAGAUAUGACAUAGAACACCAAUUGCGAAGGCAGCUGGCUACACAAAUAUUGACACUGAGGCACGAAAGCGUGGGGAUCAAACAGGAUUAGAUACCCUGGUAGUCCACGCCCUAAACUAUGGAUACUCGACAUUUGCGAUAAACUGCAAGUGUCUGAGCGAAAGCAUUAAGUAUCCCACCUGGGAAGUACGAUCGCAAGAUUG